UCCCCGUUAUCCGAGGCGGUUUCGCUAGAGUGCCCGACUUGACUCGCUGGCAACUAACGAUAAGGGUUGUGCUCGUUGCGGGACUUAACCCAACAUCUCACGACACGAGCUGACGACAGCCAUGCGGCACCUAGUUUUGUGUCAUUGCUGAAAAAUCCCUUUCAGGAUCGGUCACUAACUUUCAAGCCCUGGUAAGGUUCCUCGCGUAUCAUCGAAUUAAACCACAUGCUCCUCCGCUUGUGCGGGCCCCCGUCAAUUCCUUUGAGUUUCAGCCUUGCGGCCGUACUCCCCAGGCGGGGUACUUCCUGCGUUAGCGCCGGCACCCAAGGGGUCGCUCCCCCAGGCACCUAGUACCCAUCGUUUACGGCGUGGACUAC
rnacentral:misc_RNA from 1 species